rnacentral:rRNA from 1 species
ACCAGACUCCUACGGGAGGCAGCAGUGGGGAAUAUUGGGCAAUGGGCGCAAGCCUGACCCAGCAACGCCGCGUGAAGGAAGAAGGCUUUCGGGUUGUAAACCUCUUUUCUCAGGGACGAAGAAAGUGACGGUACCUGAGGAAUAAGCCACGGCUAACUACGUGCCAGCAGCCGCGGUAAUACGUAGGUGGCAAGCGUUAUCCGGAUUUACUGGGUGUAAAGGGCGUGUAGGCGGGACUGCAAGUCAGAUGUGAAAACCACGGGCUCAACCUGUGGCCUGCAUUUGAAACUGUAGUUCUUGAGUACUGGAGAGGCAGACGGAAUUCCUAGUGUAGCGGUGAAAUGCGUAGAUAUUAGGAGGAACACCAGUGGCGAAAGCGCUUUACUGGACCAUUAUUGACGCUGAGGAACGAAAGCCAGGGGAGCAAAUGGGAUUAGAUACCCCCGUAUCC